rnacentral:rRNA from 1 species
AGAGUUUGAUUCUGGCUCAGAACGAACGCUGGCGGCGUGGAUAAGACAUGCAAGUCGAACGAGAGAAUUGCUAGCUUGCUAAUAAUUCUCUAGUGGCGCACGGGUGAGUAACACGUGAGUAACCUGCCCCCAAGAGUGGGAUAGCCCCGGGAAACUGGGAUUAAUACCGCAUAAAAUCGCAAGAUUAAAGCAGCAAUGCGCUUGGGGAUGGGCUCGCGUCCUAUUAGUUAGUUGGUGAGGUAACGGCUCACCAAGGCGAUGACGGGUAGCCGGUCUGAGAGGAUGUCCGGCCACACUGGAACUGAGACACGGUCCAGACACCUACGGGUGGCAGCAGUCGAGAAUCAUUCACAAUGGGGGAAACCCUGAUGGUGCGACGCCGCGUGGGGGAAUGAAGGUCUUCGGAUUGUAAACCCCUGUCAUGUGGGAGCAAAUUAAAAAGAUAGUACCACAAGAGGAAGAGACGGCUAACUCUGUGCCAGCAGCCGCGGUAAUACAGAGGUCUCAAGCGUUGUUCGGAAUCACUGGGCGUAAAGCGUGCGUAGGCGGUUUCGUAAGUCGUGUGUGAAAGGCGGGGGCUCAACCCCCGGACUGCACAUGAUACUGCGAGACUAGAGUAAUGGAGGGGGAACCGGAAUUCUCGGUGUAGCAGUGAAAUGCGUAGAUAUCGAGAGGAACACUCGUGGCGAAGGCGGGUUCCUGGACAUUAACUGACGCUGAGGCACGAAGGCCAGGGGAGCGAAAGGGAUUAGAUACCCCUGUAGUCCUGGCAGUAAACGGUGCACGCUUGGUGUGCGGGGAAUCGACCCCCUGCGUGCCGGAGCUAACGCGUUAAGCGUGCCGCCUGGGGAGUACGGUCGCAAGAUUAAAACUCAAAGAAAUUGACGGGGACCCGCACAAGCGGUGGAGUAUGUGGUUUAAUUCGAUGCAACGCGAAGAACCUUACCCAGGCUUGACAUCUAGGGAACCCUUCGGAAAUGAAGGGGUGCCCUUCGGGGAGCCCUAAGACAGGUGCUGCAUGGCUGUCGU